UACAGAGGGGGCAAGCGUUGUUCGGAAUUACUGGGCGGAAAGGGCGCGUAGGCGGCCUGUUAAGUCGAACGUGAAAUCCCCGGGCUCAACCCGGGAACUGCGUCCGAUACUGGCAGGCUUGAAUCCGGGAGAGGGAUGCGGAAUUCCAGGUGUAGCGGUGAAAUGCGUAGAUAUCUGGAGGAACACCGGUGGCGAAGGCGGCAUCCUGGACCGGUAUUGACGCUGAGGCGCGAAAGCCAGGGGAGCAAACGGG
rnacentral:rRNA from 1 species